CCCUUAGAUGUCCGGGGCUGCACGCGCGCUACAAUGGUCUUCGCAAACGGAUGCAUUCUCGAAGGAGAAUGCCAAUCUUGGAAUCUAUGCCUUGGUCGGGACAGUUGCUUGCAAUUUUUCGACUCGAACCAGGAAUUCCUUGUAAUCGUGAUUCAUCACAUCACGAUGAAUACGUCCCUGCCCUUUGUACACACCGCCCGUCGCUCCUACCGAUCGAAGAGUUAGGUGAAUUGUUUUGAUCGAUAAGAUUUGACUAUGGUCAACUCUCGUUGUGAAAUUCUGUGAAUCUGACUGUUUAGAGGAAGGAAAAGUCGUAACA
rnacentral:rRNA from 1 species